CUAUCUUGUGUUUUGGCUCUGAGUCCCCGCUUUCAAACCUCACUUCCAGCUUAUUCUUGAUUGUUUGCUUGAGGGCAAGCAAAGACUAAGUUUGGGAGAGUUGAUAAGUGUGUAUUUUGCAUGUUUUGAGCAUCCAUUUGUUAUCAUUUUAGCAUCAUAUCAUCACUGUUUUAUACCAUUUCACAUCAUUUGUCACCACUUUGCAUGUUUAGGAUAGUUUUGCAUGCAUGUUGCAUAUUUGCGUUGAUUUCAGGUGAUUUGGAGCUGUUGACGAGCCAUCUGGAAGAAGCGGACCUGAUCACGACAAACCACUCGACCAAGAGGUCGAGCAGGAGCUUCAAGAUCCCAAGAGACCAAUCGACCCCCAGGUCGAGCAUAGGACAUCACCACUUCACUUCACCACUCGACCUCUUCACUCCACCUGGAAGUCGAGUAUCUUCUAACACCACUCGAUCACCUCACUCGACCCCCAGGUCGAGUGCCUUCACCUUCACUGCUAGACCACUACUCGACCUCAUCACUCUACCUAGAGGUCGAGUACCUCCAUCACACCGCUCGACUGCAUACUCGAUGACAAGCUUCAGAGCCUUCUUCAUUCCGCACUCAACCAGACACUCGAGCACAAGGAAGAAAAGAAGACUCCAGCUAUUCACUCGACCUCUCACUCGACCACCUGGGUCGAGUACAGUUCUUAACCCGUCCAAAUACUUCGUCGUUUUGAGUAUUAGGGUUUCGGGAUAUUUGGCUAUAAGUAGCAUGUACUUCUCAUUUUCGCAGACAAGAAGUUUUUACCUAGUUUUAUUUCCGCAGACCUUGUGUUCUAGACUUUUUGUAAUCCGGAUUUCUCUUUAUCUAUUCAGUAUUCAGCUUUGGUUCUUGAUUUUCGUUUACUGUUGUUCAUUCUGUUAUCACACUACUGUUACACUGUUGUUAUCAUGUCUUCAACCUGUUCAACGUUUAUGCUUUCUGUUAUGAUGUCUGAGUAGUGAAUAGGUUUCUGAGGAUGGGUUAGAGUAGUGUAGAAUUCUCAGUAUGCUAGGUGAUUGAGUAUUGAUUGAUAGAUCCCUUCUGGAUUAGUUGUUCUUAAUGCCUAUUGCUUUCUGAUCAACUGGAAUUUGAGCCCAGACAUUUCCGCGCCCAAAAGGUGUUCGAUGAAAUGUCUAAACCACUAAUUCCAAAGAUUUGUGACCCUGUACCAAGGUAUUUGUUGCAGGGAGCGUUUUGGCUUUAACUUGUUGAUUCGUAAUGCCUGUUAGGUUAGCUCUCGUCAAUGGUGAUUGAGUCUAGGACUAGGUUAGCUUGAGAGUCUCUGUUGCGGUGGCACUUAGAUUUGGUUAAUGAACUUGUUGUCUAGGGUUAAUUUAUUGAGUAUGUCAAUCACCUGUAAACUGAGGAAACGAAACUACUCAAUUAUCCCAUCCUUAGGAAUUCUUUAUCUGAUUGAUUUUUUUGUUUACUCUACUACUGUUUACUGCAUAUUGUCAUCUGUUGCUUAGUUUCUGCAAUUCUUUACUGUUACUCGAUCUGAUACUCGACCACCCAGUUGUCUUGCAACAGACUGUGCAGUCGAGUAUCCCUGUUUCAUUUCCUGUCUAUUACUCGACCUGUCACUCGACCUCACCCAGAGUUCUGGAAAGAGCUGUGUUGGUCGAGUGUUUUACUGUUUCUGUUUGAUUUUCUGUUUUCUGCAUGUUCACUUAGGACUGCUGGAACACACCAAAACCUGUUAUGCUUGGCUUGACUUAGUGACUUUUGAUCACAUCUUGAUUGUUAGCAUCACACCCAUUUGGAUUGACAACCUAAAAUACUACAAUGACAUGAUUGGUGUUUUAGGAUAAUUGACUAAAAACCUAUUAUCAAAGUGCUAACGACGAUCUCUUAUUUGAGGGAGUAAGCUUAAGGCAAUUUGAGCUAUAUUAAUAUGCAACAACUGAGAAGGAACUUCUAGCUGUUGUAUUCGCAUUUGAGAAGUUCAGAAGCUAUUUGGUUGGAUCCAAGGUCACUGUCUAUAAAGACCAUGCAACUUUGAGGCAUAUGUAUGCCAAGAAGGAUACUAAACCAAGACUGUUGAGAUGCAUACUUCUGUUGCAAGAGUUUGACAUGGAUAUAGUAGACAAGAAGGACAUUGAAAAUGGUGCAGUUGACCAUCUGGCAAGGAUGAGAAUUGAAGAACCUAUUCAAAUAGACGACUCAAUGCCAAAAG
rnacentral:sRNA from 1 species